UGAGUGUUGUCAGUUGCAGGUCCUGGGAGCCUAUCCCGGGAUAAGCAAAUGGGAAUGCGGUGAAAUUCCGCGACGGUCGCGCCGCUGUGAGCGUCCGCUCCGAGAAAUCGGAAAUCCGAAUGGGAGAUUGUUCCACUGCUUGCGUUAUGCAGGCGGGAAGGAUCCGUUCGGUAGGGUGCAAGUCAGAAAACCUGCCUGUAGCUGUUAGCGUUU
rnacentral:ncRNA from 2 species